AUCUGAAAUAGACUCACAAAUCCCCUUCCUUGACCUAAACAUCACAAAAAUCAAUGGUAGACUUUCCACCUCUAUUUAUCGUAAACCUACAUUUUCUGGCCUCGGUAUUAGUUUUUUCAGCUUUUGCAGUUUCCGGUUCAAAAUCAAUUCAGUCCGUACCCUCUUACACCGUGCCUUUGCUCUGUCUUCUUCUUACCUAAAUUUCCAUAAUGAAGUUACUUUCCUAAAGGAUUUUUUCUAUAACAAUGGCUUCACCACCAACCUGUUUGAGAAAACUCUGAAUAACUUUCUCCAAAGUAAAUACCUUCUUAAACAUCCAAUUACCACUGUUGCCAAAGAAACAAUCUAUUUACGUAUUCCAUUUUUAGGUGAGGUUUCCAAGAAAUUAGAAAGGGGUCUAUAUGAAAAACUUACAAAAUAUUAUCCUGAUAAACAUUUUCGUAUUGUGUCUACAAAUAGUCUAUGUAUAGGUAGUUUUUUCCUCUUUAAGGACACUCUGCCAACUGCCUUACGCUCGUCGGCUGUUUAUUGUUUCACUUGUCCCAGCUGCCAGGCUGAGUAUGUGGGUAGCACCUUGCGCUCACUUAUAAACCGAGCCAGCGAGCAUUUAGGCCAGUCUGCCAGAACAGGGCGCCCGCUACACAACGCCCCAUUUUCCGCGAUACGGGACCACUGCCUCUCAUACCACUGAUGAUGACAUAAGAUGAAAUGUCGAAACGUUUGGCCCAUUAAAGAUGCUGCUCGUA